rnacentral:ribozyme from 1 species
AUAUAUAUUGAUUAAAAUAAAAAUAAAAAAAAUAAAAAAAAAUGUGCAGCGCCGCCGUGGCGACAUAUUUGCUCUGGGGAAGCUGCCUAACCCGUUUUUUCAAUUUGUUCUCCGCGUCAUCUCCUCCUCAAUUCU